rnacentral:lncRNA from 1 species
CCUAGGUGUAUCUGCAUAGAUAAAUACACUUCAGUAUUUUUGCAUUUACAGUUGGAUGACAUGCUAAAGUAAUACCUUGAAUUGAAUGUAUAUGGCCACACAUAGUUUUGAAUGCCAUGUAAUUUUUUCCUCUUUUCUCUCUUGGUUCUUCCAAACACGUUGAAGUGAAGACACAGAGCUAUUCAGAAUCCAAACAUAACAUGGCUAUAAGGGCAAAACUCACUAAGUGGUAAUUAUGGGCAACACCUAUUAAUUAGUUAAUUAAUAACCAGUAAACUGAAACACUUUAUAUAUUCCCUGUAUUUAUAUCUAUUUCCACUUAUUACAUAAUUAUUUAAUUUGCUAAAAAUUUACUGAAGUGUGUAUGCAGAAACCUAAUGAGGUUUCUGAAAUACUAGCGGGUCCAUUUUGACAUUAACAUCCUGCUUGUUUUCUUUUCUUUUUUUCUUUUUUUUUAAAGAUUUUAUUUAUUUAUUCGUGAGAGACACAGGGAGGCAGAGACACAUGCAGAGGGAGAAGCAGGCUCCGAGCGGGGAGCCCGAUGUAGGACUUGAUCCCAGGACCCCAGGAUCAGGUCCCGAGCCAAAGGCAGACCGUUCAACUGCUGAGCCACCCAGGUGUCCCUGCUUGUUUUCUUUUAUGCCAGGAAGAACACGAGUGUCCUGGCAAUGCCAAUGACAUAGGUCAUAUCCUGGAGGUAGUGAUAGUUCUCGGUGUCCCCAGAGAUGUUGUGAUGGAGUGAAGGGCCACUGCAGAGCCAAUGAGCCACUUAGGAGGAGCCACUUUACUUUGAAGAAGCUGAGGGUCUUCAAAUUGAAGGCAAAGCAUCCAGGUUGUCAUCCAGGACUCACAUACCCCUUUCCUUGAGAUGCACAUCACCUUCUACUUCCUCACCGGAUUCAAACAGGGUGCUGGGAGACCUGAUGUCUGUGUUUCCAGCAGCAAGAAGACUCGGAAGACAGCCUACCGCCAGGCCCUGUUGUAGAGAUUCUAUUAAAGAGAGAGCCUUGGGGCUGCAGUCCUCCAGGCAGGCUAAACGAAAUUAUGCCAACCCCGCGGUGCUGUUUUCCUUAUACUGUAUGGAAGAGAGCAAGUCACAGAUGGCACUGGUCACCAUCCCAUGA